rnacentral:lncRNA from 1 species
GUGCUCAGGGAAUCUGCAUUUCUUUUACAAAUAGGUAAUUCUCAAAAACAAUGAAAAUUGGCAAACCACUUGCCUAACUUAUAAGGACACUGCCACUUGUAACAUCUAAACGAUCUCAAAGUAUCAUUUCAACUGAGACGUUGGAGGAAGUGCCAUGUUGCCAAUUUUUCUAAAAGUCCUUCUUCCCAGCUCCUAAU